rnacentral:rRNA from 1 species
GACGAACGCUGGCGGCGUGCCUAAUACAUGCAAGUUGAGCGAUGAAGAUUGGUGCUUGCACCAAUUUGAAGAGCAGCGAACGGGUGAGUAACGCGUGGGGAAUCUGCCUUUGAGCGGGGGACAACAUCUGGAAACGAAUGCUAAUACCGCAUAACAACUUUAAACAUAAGUUUUAAGUUUGAAAGAUGCAAUUGCAUCACUCAAAGAUGAUCCCGCGUUGUAUUAGCUAGUUGGUGAGGUAAAGGCUCACCAAGGCGAUGAUACAUAGCCGACCUGAGAGGGUGAUCGGCCACAUUGGGACUGAGACACGGCCCAAACUCCUACGGGAGGCAGCAGUAGGGAAUCUUCGGCAAUGGACGAAAGUCUGACCGAGCAACGCCGCGUGAGUGAAGAAGGUUUUCGGAUCGUAAAACUCUGUUGGUAGAGAAGAACGUUGGUGAGAGUGGAAAGCUCAUCAAGUGACGGUAACUACCCAGAAAGGGACGGCUAACUACGUG